CAUAACUUAGUGUUAAAAUAUAUCAUAAUUUGUAGGUAAAUCCGCAACGGGUACGACAAAAUGAAACUAAUAAAAAGUAAUUUGAUACUUUAUUUAGCAAA